rnacentral:rRNA from 1 species
GAUGAACGCUAGCGGCAGGCUUAACACAUGCAAGCCGAGGGGCAGCAUAAAUAGUAGCAAUACUAUUGGUGGCGACCGGCGGACGGGUGCGUAACGCGUAUACAACCUUCCCUAAACAGGGGGAUAAUCUGGAGAAAUUCGGUCUAAUACCCCAUAACAUCAGAGCAGGCAUCUGUUUUGGUUAAAAUUUCCGGAGGUUUAGGAUGGGUAUGCGUAGCAUUAGCUAGUUGGUGAGGUAACGGCUUACCAAGGCGACGAUGCUUAGGGGGACUGAGAGGUUAACCCCCCACACUGGUACUGAGACACGGACCAGACUCCUACGGGAGGCAGCAGUGAGGAAUAUUGGUCAAUGGGCGGAAGCCUGAACCAGCCAUGCCGCGUGCAGGAUGACGGCUCUAUGAGUUGUAAACUGCUUUUGUACGAGGGUAAAGUGGGCUACGUGUAGCCUUUUGAAAGUAUCGUACGAAUAAGGAUCGGCUAACUCCGUGCCAGCCGCCGCGGUAA